GUUUUCAAAGUCCAAAGA
rnacentral:sRNA from 1 species